GAUCCUGGCUCAGGAUGAACGCUAGCUACAGGCUUAACACAUGCAAGUCGAGGGGCAUCAGGAAGAAAGCUUGCUUUCCUUGCUGGCGACCGGCGCACGGGUGAGUAACACGUAUCCAACCUGCCCUUUACUCGGGGAUAGCCCUUCGAAAGAAAGAUUAAUACCCGAUAGCAUAAUGAUUCCGCAUGGUUUCAUUAUUAAAGGAUUCCGGUAAAGGAUGGGGAUGCGUUCCAUUAGGUUGUUGGUGAGGUAACGG
rnacentral:rRNA from 1 species